rnacentral:lncRNA from 1 species
UGGUCGUCGCGUUGUCCACCACCUCCAUCCACGACUUCAUCACCAAGGUCAAUCAUGUUCCCCUCGUUUCCCUCUCCUUUCAGCAAAAAACAUUUCUAUGCAUAAAUUCUAUAGGUGAUAGGACCAUAUGAGCCCGUAAUAUUUCGCAUAGAGUGCUUUCUUAGCGUGCCCUAGAACCACAGGCCUGAGCCUAUUGUGUUGUGCUUUUAGUCCGAGCAUCAUUGGUUCGUAAUUCAUGCGGAGCUUAGUGUGAAUUUUGUUGUUGAUCCGUUUCAUUGGCUUGCGAAAUGACUGAAAUUGCUAACCAUUAGCUAGAUGUUUUGCCAAAUUUUUGGAAGAGUCUACAUGCCACAACCUCUGAUUGUGCACAGGGAGUCUAAUGAUUGCUCUUUGCUUGCUAUUUGUAUGCAGAUUGUGAGCGGCAAGGACGUUGACCCCAACAUCAAUAUGGGAAGGUCCUUCUCCUCUUUAACAUCACACUACACCAAAAUUACAAACUUCCUACGACCUACUAAUUUCCUACGAUUUUCUAAACCUGCUAGCUUUCGAGAGGGACUGUUGGCUCUAGAAAGUUAAGCUAACUUCCGACCAAAUUUUUUCGAGAGCUUAACUUUCGAUGGGAUCACUUAACUUCUGAGGGUUUAGUUAACUUCCAAGAGUUUACGGCUAACCUCCUAGAGUUUAGACUCUAGGAAGUUAAUCAUUUUGGUGUAGUGUCAGAACCUAAUUGUAUGAAUCAUACACAGCUGAACCUCGAAUCAUAUGUGGCAAGAACUCAUUUUUUCU